UAUAACUCCAGGAGAACUGAGACCUUGUCAACUACACCAGCAGUGGAAAUCAGCUCAUCUGGACUGUCUUCCGUAAUAUAUUCCCCUCAAGUCAAAGAUGGGCACAAGUGACAGGAACCAUUAGGAAGCUCUCACCAGACAGAGACGUGGCAGAACGUGCCGAAUCGCCCUCACAGCGG